UACGUAGGUGGCAAGCGUUGUCCGGAUUUACUGGGCGUAAAGAGUAUGUAGGCGGACAUUUAAGUAGAAAGUGAAAGGUUGGAGCUUAACUCCAACACUGCUUCCUAUACUGGGUGUCUUGAGUGCCGGAGAGGAAAGCGGAACGACACGUGUAGCGGUGAAAUGCGUUGAAAUGUGUCGGAACACCAAUGGCGAAGGCAGCUUUCUUGACGGAGCCGCAAGGCUUAAAACUGACGCUGAGAUACGAAAGCGUGGGUAGCGAACAGG
rnacentral:rRNA from 1 species